rnacentral:lncRNA from 1 species
AUUUCACAGCCGCUUAUUCUCACAGCAUAGCAGAAGCAAUUUUUUUUCAAAGCACAGCAAUACUAAACCAGCCCUUAAAGUGUUAAUUUUAGGACAGUCUCAUACAUCCGUUAGUUUGGCUUUUAAGUCUUCCGUUAACUAAUGAUGUGACGCCUAUGUGAACAAUGAUUGGGCGCCAUGUGUCAUUAAAAAAUUAUAAAAAUUAAAACAAUUAAUUUAAUUUAAUUUUAAAAAAAAAAAAAACCCAGAACACCUUCGUCUUCCACACCUGACACCCCUCCAUUUCCCUCCACCCCCUGCACGGCUCCCAGGGAAAGCCCUAAUUUGCGUGUAGAGAUGGUCAAUGUGAACAAGUUAGGGUAUUUCCAAGCGAUCACAGGCCUCGAAAACUCCAAUUUAUGCGUGGAGAUCCUCAACGCCCAUGGCUGGGACCUCGAGCUCGCGAUCUCCUCCUUCACUCUAAAAAGCAUUUCAAACUCAAAAACUUUUUCCCUCCUUUCUUCUCUGCCAAAAAUGGAGCCUUCAGUGUGAGCUUUUAAUUUGCAGAUCACAGUUCAAUCAAUCAACAGAGCUGCGGUUUAUACCUUUUAAUUUGCAGAUCUGUGAGUUUGGGGACUAUCCGAGUAUAUAUCGUCAGUCUCUUUGCGGAUUUCAAGUACCUAACACAUAAGAACAUCAGUGUGAGCUUCUACAAGGGUGAAUCAUAGGAAAAAAAAAUUAGCUUUCAGGGAUUUUUCUCAAGCUAAGAAACAUGUAUAUUGCACAGAGUGGGAGAUGAUUACCGUUGCAUGUGCGAAAUGGUAUUGAUCUGCAUGAAUGGAACUCCAAUAUUUGAGCAUAUCUUUGCUCAGGGAAUGACGGUGAUGACGGUCUAAGCUCAAAUCCGUGAUGGGUUAGAGACACGGGGAUGUGUAUGUUGUGUGGUUUUGGUUGCGAAUGGAUGCAACGUUUAGAAAGGAAGACAAAGUUGUUGUGAGAUGGAAGGUUUGCAAUGCUGGGCACUGGGCUUAAGAUUGGAGAAAUGAUAAUCCUUUCUAAUUUUCUAGAGGCUGAGAGAAAUUCAAGCACUAAGAGCCAUAUCUCAUUUGUCUGUGAAGGUUUGAAAAAAAAGUGAGAAAUGAGAGACAUCUCUCAUUUUCUAGAGAGAUAGGGGUUUCGGUUACUUACACAAAACAAAUAGAAAAAUUUAAGGUCGCAGGGAAACAAGGAAGGGCCAACCGCCCAGAGCUAGGGUUUUGAAGACUGAAGCUGCGGAGGAGAAACCUGUGGAGGAAAAUUUGGCACGGCAAAUGAGUACAAGGCAAACUCGGAGCUCCAGGAUCGAGGAAUUGGGGAAGAUCCCAAGUAGGAACCUCCACAGUCUCCGAUGUCAGUGGUAGGGACAACCUUCACUCCAUUCCUCAACUGUUGUACCAAUCUUGAUCGUUGUCAAACCUCAUCGCGGCACUCGGGUUUUUGGGAUAAGGGAAGGGGAUGGGUUUUUGAGUAAGGAGAAGAGGAAGGGUGUCGGUGGGUGAGGAGUGGAGGGGUGGAUGGGAUGGAGGGUGGAGCCAUUGAGGGGGUGGAAAGGUGUCGGGUGGGGAAGGCGAAGGUAUUCUAGUUUUUU